UACGUAGGUGGCAAGCGUUGUCCGGAAUUAUUGGGCGUAAAGCGCGCGCAGGCGGUCCUUUAAGUCUGAUGUGAAAGCCCACGGCUCAACCGUGGAGGGUCAUUGGAAACUGGGGGACUUGAGUACAGAAGAGGAAAGCGGAAUUCCACGUGUAGCGGUGAAAUGCGUAGAGAUGUGGAGGAACACCAGUGGCGAAGGCGGCUUUCUGGUCUGUAACUGACGCUGAGGCGCGAAAGUGUGGGGAGCAAACAGG
rnacentral:rRNA from 1 species